rnacentral:rRNA from 1 species
AUACGUAGGGGGCAAGCGUUGUCCGGAAUUAUUGGGCGUAAAGCGCGCGCAGGCGGUUCUUUAAGUCUUGUGUUUAAGCCCGGGGCUCAACCCCGGUACGCACGGGAAACUGGGGGACUGGAGUGCAGGAGAGGAAAGUGGAAUUCCACGUGUAGCGGUGAAAUGCGUAGAGAUGUGGAGGAACACCAGUGGCGAAGGCGACUUUCUGGCCCGUAACUGACGCUGAGGCGCGAAAGCGUGGGGAGCAAACAGGAUUAGAUACCCUGGUAGUCCACGCCGUAAACGAUGAGUGCUAGGUGUCGGGGGUUUCAAUACCCUCGGUGCCGAAGUAAACACAGUAAGCACUCCGCCUGGGGAGUACGCUCGCAAGAGUGAA